rnacentral:misc_RNA from 1 species
GAUGAAGAACGUAGCGAAAUGCGAUAAGUAAUGUGAAUUGCAGAAUUCAGUGAAUCAUCGAAUCUUUGAACGCACCUUGCGCCCUUUGGCCAUUCCGAAGGGCAUGCCUGUUUGAGUAUCAUGAACACCUCAACUCUUUAUGGUUUUCCAUGAUGAGCUUGGACUUUGGGGGUUUUGCUGGCCUAUGGUCGGCUCCUCUAAAAUAAAUCAGCUUACCGGUGUUUGGUGGGUAUCAUGGGUGUGAUAACUAUCUACGCUUGUGGUUUUUCCACCAGGUAAACUUCGACAGCGGAGGUUCACUGGAGCUCAUAGAUGUCUCUCCUCAGCGAGGACAGCCCUUUGAAUGUUUGAUCUCAAAUCAGGUAGGACUACCCGCUGAACUUAAGCAUAUCAAUAAGCGGAGGA